CCUACGGGAGGCAGCAGUGAGGAAUAUUGGUCAAUGGACGAGAGUCUGAACCAGCCAAGUAGCGUGAAGGAUGACUUCCCUAUGGGUUGUAAACUUCUUUUAUAUGGGAAUAAAAUGUUCCACGUGUGGGAUUUUGUAUGUACCUUAUGAAUAAGGAUCGGCUAACUCCGUGCCAGCAGCCGCGGUAAUACGGAGGAUCCGAGCGUUAUCCGGAUUUAUUGGGUUUAAAGGGAGCGUAGAUGGAUUGUUAAGUCAGUUGUGAAAGUUUGCGGCUCAACCGUAAAAUUGCAGUUGAAACUGGCAGUCUUGAGUACAGUAGAGGUGGGCGGAAUUCGUGGUGUAGCGGUGAAAUGCUUAGAUAUCACGAAGAACCCCGAUUGCGAAGGCAGCUUACUAGACUGCGACUGACACUGAGGCUCGAAAGUGUGGGUAUCAAACAGGAUUAGAUACCCGAGUAGUC
rnacentral:rRNA from 1 species